rnacentral:misc_RNA from 1 species
GAUGAAGAACGCAGCGAAAUGCGAUAAGUAGUGUGAAUUGCAGAAUUCAGUGAAUCAUCGAAUCUUUGAACGCACAUUGCGCCCUUUGGUAUUCCUUAGGGCAUGCCUGUUCGAGCGUCAUUUAAACCUUCAAGCUAAGCUUGGUGUUGGGUGACUGUCCACUUCACUGCGGACUCGCCUCAAAAUUAUUGGCGGCCGGUACAUUGGCUUCGAGCGCAGCAGAAACGCGAACUCGGGCCCGUCGUAUUGGCUCCCAGAAGCUAUCUUCACAAUUUUGACCUCGGAUCAGGUAGGGAUACCCGCUGAACUUAAGCAUAUCAAUAAGCGGAGGA